rnacentral:rRNA from 1 species
UACGGGGGGGGCAAGCGUUGUUCGGAAUUACUGGGCGUAAAGGGUUCGUAGGUGGCCAAUUAAGUCAGACGUGAAAUCCCUCAGCUUAACUGGGGAACUGCGUCUGAGACUGGAUGGCUUGAGUGCAGGAGAGGAACGCGGAAUUCCAGGUGUAGCGGUGAAAUGCGUAGAUAUGCGGAGGAACACCGAUGGCGAAGGCAGUCCCCUGGACCUGUACUGACGCUCAUGCACGAAAGCGUGGGGAGCAAACAGG